GUCUAUGGCCAUGCCACCCUCAACAAGCCCGAUCCCGUCUGAUCUCGGAAGCUAAGCAGGGACGGGCAUGGUUAGUACUUGGAUGGGAGACCAUCUAGGAAGACCAGGUGCUAUAGGCA
rnacentral:rRNA from 1 species